UCAUUUCAUCAAAGAUAAUUGUAACAAUUUGUUCGCCGAAAAAUAUCUUAUUCAGCGUUCAGUUGUACUUAGCUCCACCCUCUCGUGUCAUUUCUGGUCGCAAAAAAAACAAGAAUAUGACGGCCAAA